UUUAAACGCAACCAUAAGUUUUCGUGUCCAACUUUAAUCAUCUGUAUUAUUCAAAAAUUUUUUAUGAUUAGUAUUUUUAUUAUUAUAUUAGAUGAUAAAACAUGAAUAGAAUUUUAUGCGUGACUUAUAUUUUUAUUUUUUUCGAAAAAAUUUUAAAUAAGACGGAUGAUCAAAUUUGGAUAUGGAAACUAAUGACUACCUUAGAA
rfam:Oryza barthii chromosome 1, whole genome shotgun sequence.